ensembl:lncRNA
CCGAAGUCGUCCUGUUGCCAGGCCUUCAACCAAACACAUCCUGCUUGGCAGCCGCUGUGUACUCAGUGUUCUAACCUUUCCCUGAACCAGUCAUCUUAAGUACAGCCUUGCAAAAUGGCGUUACUGCUGCUAAGCUGGGGUCUUUCAAUGCCUUUGUCAACAGAGAGGGCCUCUGUGGUAUGCCUUUGAGGUGAUUUCUGAGCUCUUUGUAACUUGAGCACAGUGAGAAAGAUAUGAAAUACUAACAGUGAAAAUAUAAUUUUUUGAGAGGUAGGACUAAAAGCAUAAAAUAACUCCACAGGAUGGGGUCAGGUUGAGUGAGCAUGAUACUCCAAAGUCCCACCUCUUCUGUUCUAGGGACUUUUUAUUCAUCAAAAUAUAUGGAUAUGGAGUACUUUUAGAAGGGGUUAUCAUUUUAGGCUGUGGCAGAUGAUUCACUGGUUUUGGAGCAGGUUUGUAUAAUCCUUGAGAUGGUCCAGAACUAUUCUCUAAUGUGUUUUCUUGAGUGUUGAAUUCUCAGAUUAAUGUCUAUGUGGCUUAUAGUCUUCUGUGUGUGGCUUUAUUUUUCUACUUUUGAGAGACCCCGGCUUAGCAACAGUAACGCCAUUUUACAAGGCUGUACUUAGAUGACUGGUUCAGGGAAGGGUCAAAACACUGAGAACACUGCGGCUGCCAAACAGGAUGUUUGUAGUUGAGUGCCUGACAACAAAAGAAAGAAAUGUAAAGCCCUGGGAGAGGUCCCACACCCUAGUGGAGGGCCAAGUCAGCCAUUAUGUUCCAGGAAGGCGGCCAGGGAACUUGCCCUUUGGCUGAACCCUCGCCUCAUUAGAAUCCACCAAUUAUGUCCCUGUAACCAUGCAUCUGCUUCUGUAUGCUUGCUUCUGCUCCCCAGAACCCUAUAAAAAAACCCGUCCCUGGUUCCGCGGGGCGCGCCAGUCCCUCGAGUAGACUGAAGCGCCCACAAGAGCCUGUGUAUCCUGAAAGUAAACCCUCUUGCUGAUUGCAUCCGGUGGUCUCGGUCUGGUCAAUGGGCUUGAGGGUCUCCUUCCUGAGAAAAAGUUCUACUUUUCAUUUGGGGUCUCAUCUGGAAUCCGGAGAUCCUCCACCCAGGAGCCACCGACUACCCACCGGGAGUAACUGUUACAGGUCUUCUUUACCACUGAGGAAAGAUAGAAUCCUACUAAAGGCCAGAAAAAAAAAGUUCCAGACACGGAUGAAAGGCCCUCACUUCUGCCUGUUGGAUUCAAUACGCCUAAAGAGAUAAGUGCAUGCUACAAUGAAGGACAACACAAAUGUCAUCUGGAAUGGACAAACCUAUACCCCCCAGCACAUCAGCGCCACAGAUGUCUUACCAUCUCUUGGAUGCCCUGAUGAAGCCAACAACUGUGAGUAUUAUUCAUUGCCCAGGACAUCAGGAAGGAAGAGAUUCAGUGACAUGGGGCAGUAACAAAGCAGAUAAAGUGGCUCGGGAAAUGGCUAUACAGGAGCCUAUCCUGGUUACAGGCCUACAAGAGACAGCCACUGGGAACUGGGAUUGGACUAAGGGAUGGCCUCACUUAGAAUGUACAACAGAAGAAAAGGCCCAAAUUGCUUAAAAAAAAGACAAUGACACACUUGAGGAAAAACUAUAUUCCUCAGAGAACAAACAAAAGACUCACUUUGCCAAAUACAGAAAUGGACUCACUUAGAUAAGAAGCUUGUCCAAGUAGUUAAGGUGUAUAUAAAAGACUUUAAGAUUCUAGCCAGAGAGACAAUAAAAAAUAUAAGAUAUGUCAGUAAGUAAAUGCUUAGCAAACAAACAGGGCAAAGAGACCUAGAGAGUUUAAUAAAAAGUCGAAGUAAACUAUGCUGAGAAAAGUAUGAUCACAAGUAUCUCCUAGUGUUUGUAGAUACCUUUCCAGGAAUAGAUAAAAGCUUUCCUCACUAAGCAAGAGACGGCCUCGAUAGUCAUCCAGAAGAUACUAGAAGAAAUCUUCCCCUGAUUUGGAAUGCCCAAGGUAAUCUGGUCAGACAAUGGCCCUACUUUCAUUGCCAAGGUAAGCCAGAGUGUGGCCAAGUAUUUAGAGGUCGAUUAAAAAUUACAUUGUAUCUACAGACCUCAAAGUUCAAGACAGAGUAAAUAGAUAAAGCUCUAAAAGAGACCCUGACCAAAUUAACCAUGGAGACUGGCACAGACUGGGUGAUACUCCUUCCCUCUCGCUCUCUUCAGAGCAAGAAAUCUCCCUUCUAGAUUCAGCCUAACCCCCUUUGAGAUCUUAUAUGGGGCCUCAGCUCCUCUGACUGUAUUAGAUGAUGUUACUGAACCAACAUGUUAUAGUAAUAAGGAUUUGUAUUCCAGGCUAAAAGACCUACAGGUGAUACAGAAAAAAAUCUGCUCACAGCUGACAACAGCCUAUACCCCGGGGACCCCCGAGACAUCUCAUCAGUUCCAGGUCGGAGACUGCAGCUACAUACAGCGACAUGGAGCCCAGACACUCAAGCCUCGCUAGAAAGGACCGUACCUGGUGCUGCUGACCACCCUGACAGCCAUCAAGUCUCAGCCCUCACCAGCUGUAUACUAGCUGUUGGGGCUGAGAGCUGGGACCUAGAGGGACACUCAGAUCUUCAAAGCUCCCUAGACUUGCACAUCAGACAUCAGAGACGUGACUGGGAAGUUGCUAUAAUGCUCACUUGAAGAGUGUGCUUUAGAAACAAGAAUUUCAUGUUUGCCCUGGGUUCCAUCGAGAUAGAUAUAGACAUAGGCUUGAUUUCUAUUACAAAUGAUAUAACAUUACAUAUGUUAGUACUCCUAACACUUCUUGAGACUGUGCCUCAGGGAUCACAAUCUAUAUAAGUUUAGAAGUUCUAAAAGACAGUUAUGACCUUGGUGUAUAGGUUCAGAUAGUGUCCAGAUUAGAAUCUUGAUGCUAAAGACUUAAUAAGACAAAAAAAAAAAGAGUUGAGAAUUACUUAAGGCUAUCUAGGUGCUACAAGGACAGCACAAGGACAUCUGCUGUUGCCCUACAAUACAAGGCUUAUGGAGAAUUCAGACCUGCCAUUGACUCAGAUAUAAAAAGAGUAAAAAAGACUUUUUAGAUGACCUCCAAGAAUACCUAACCUCCCUCUCAGAGGUAGUCCUUCAGAAUAAGAAAAGAUUAGACCUGAUAUUCCUUAAAGAAAGAGUCUGUGUGCUACACUUAAAGAAGCUAUACAGAUCAGACAGGAAUAAUAAGAGAUAAUAUGGCUAAGCUCCGAGAACGCUUAGCCCAGAGAUAAAAGUUGUUUGAUUCCCAACAAGGGUGGUUUGAGGGGUGGUUUAACUGAUCCCCUUGGUUUGCUACCCUCCUGUCUACCCUGAUGGGACCCCUACUUAUUCUCCUAAUUCUCCUAUUUGGACCCUGUAUCCUUAACAGGCUGGUACAGUUCAUGAGGGAUAGACUUUCAGUCAUUCAGACUCUCGUACUGACACAACAGUACCAUAGGCUGAGACAACAAGAAACAAAGAUCUCUUAACCAAGUUAAGUGAAAGAUUUCACUCAAAGUUAGCAGAAAAAAAAUGAGGAAAUGAGAGACCCUAGCUUAGCAACAGUAACACCAUUUUACAAGGCUGUACUUAGAUGACUGGUUCAGGGAAGGGUCAAAACACUGAGAACACUGCGGCUGCCAAACAGGAUGUUUGUAGUUGAGUGCCUGACAACAAAAGAAAGAAAUGUAAAGCCCUGGGAGAGGUCCCACACCCUAGUGGAGGGCCAAGUCAGCCAUUAUGUUCCAGGAAGGCGGCCAGGGAACUUGCCCCUGGGCUGAACCCUCACCUCCUUAGAAUCCACCAAUUAUGUCCCUGUAACCACGCAUCUGCUUCUGUAUGCUUGCUUCUGCUCCCCAGAACCCUAUAAAAAAACCCGUCCCUGGUUCCGCGGGGCGCGCCAGUCCCUCGAGUUGACUGAAGCGCCCACAGGUGCCUGUGUAUCCUGAAAGUAAACCCUCUUGCUGAUUGUAUCUCUCUGAGAACUUUUCACUUUGUCUGUUCUUGAGUGACAUGUACUUGAAAAUCUUUAUAAGAAGCUGAGGCACAGGAAAUCUCAUCCCCAGUAACUGCUAACAAUACAAACACAUAUUAUCUCUAUUAGGGAUCACGAUUUCUCACUUUAAAUUAUCUAGCUGACACUGUACUUGAAUCUUGUUCCAGAAUUGAUCUGAAAACCUGAUAUGAUAGUAGGAGUUUAAUAUCAUCUUGGUAAGAAGAAUGCAAUUGAUUUAGGAUUUUGAUUGACAAAAUUUGAAGAAUAGGACUAGAAAAAACAUAAAGACGGACCCUGGGAAGAUAAGCAACCAAGACAUCUGAUAUCAAACUAUAUAACAUGAGUCCUGUGAUUCAGAUAGUUGCUCAAUUUUCUGGACAUUACCAAUUAAAUUUUAUCUAGAAUUUCUGAAUAAUCAUGAUUUUUAAACAUAAAACAUCAUUCUUCUUCAAGAAAGAGACACAGUCUUAAUGCUCAGUAAAUUGUGUUGAUGUUUUCCUUAGGAAUGGUUUUUAGAGAGCAACACUUUGUCUCAGCAACAGUGAGGGUUGUUUAGGGAUUUCCAUGGAUUCCCUUGGCCAACAGCUCAAUUGAAAGCAACUGAAUGUUGCCACUCGUGGCUUCACCUGGCAUCAAGAGACAGUCAAAUUCAUGUGAAAGAUUUUCCUUUCUUUUAUUGUUUCUUAACUCUAUCGAUCUCCAUUACAUUCUUAUACCUUUUUAUAUUAUACAUCCUUGAUGGUUCAUUUAUAGUUUUCUUUUUUCAGUUAAAGUUUAUAAAUAAUUUUAUUAAUAAAAUAAGGUUUCAAUAUAAACAAAGGAAUCCUUAUCUUAAACACUGGGACGCCAUACUAGCAGUAUUUUCUAUAAAUUUAAAUUUGUCAGAAAGUCAAGCCCUUUUAUAACAUAUUUAAAGCCUUGUUUAAAAAAUUAUUUCUGUUUCUUAAUUUGGACUCACCAAAUGGCAGGACAAAGUUUUGGAAUUUGUACCUUUAUUUUGUAAUUUUCCCCUCCACUUUAGUUGCCUGAUUGUCUCCUCAAGCAAUCAUAUUAAUUUCUGAGGCAGACAUAGUAGCAUGGGUAUGUUACUAUUUCAAUUCUCAGACUAGCAAGGCCUCACAGGACUCUCCAUUCAAAUUAAAGGUAGCAAAUUUGGGUCUCACCGACUUGAUCUGGGGGCAACUAGCUGAAACAGUAGGCAAACUCUCUGCCACACAAGACAGAAUAUCUGAGUUAGGUCUUUGAAAUACAUUUGAAAGCAGAAGGAAAGAACAAACUCUGCAAAGUUGUUCCCAGACCUCCAUAGUUAUUACAUGCAUCACAGAACUGUACUAUAUACAUACUCAGGAAUGGUAUAUAUAUGGAUAUUGUGGCAGUUCUAGAUAUUUUUGAG